rnacentral:lncRNA from 1 species
CUCUCUGCUUCUCCUUUGCUUCUUCCAAAAUCCAAACAAAUCCAAGCGUGCACGUUUUCUGUUCACCACACCUCUUCCUUUACAAUUACUCCACAUCACACCAACAAUACUAACUAAUUAAUAAACAGCGGCGUAGUUCCGGGGGUUGACCUUCUCCAGCAGUGGCGUAUAGUCACAACGGAAGCGGAGGCGAAGGCUUCGCGACGUCGUUUCCGGCAGCGCAGCAGAGCGGCGAAGGAAGGCGGCGUAGUUUCCGGCGGAGGCAGAGCGGCGAAGGCAGCGUCGUCGUUUCCGGCGGAGGCAGAGCUUCGGUGAUGGCUUUCUAAGGCAGGGAUACGUGGGAGGCGGAGGGGGCGAACGCGGGUGACGGUGGGGACGGCCCGGACGCCGGUGAUUGGCAAUCGGAGGGGGAGAACGCGGAGGAGGGAUUUGAAGGAGGAAGAAAAUUAGAAGAAGGAAUUUUGUGAAAGUGAGGCGGGACUAAGUGAUUCCCGUGAAAUAAUAUUUAGGGCUCACGGACGGAG